UACGUAGGGUACGAGCGUUGUCCGGAGUUACUGGGCGUAAAGGGUGCGCAGGUGGCGGCGCGCGUGGGGGGUGAAAUCGCCCGGCUUAACUGGGCGGGGGCCUUCCAGACGGCGUGGCUUGAGCAGCGGAGGGGGACGUGGAAUUCCGGGUGGAGCGGUGAAAUGCGUAGAGAUCCGGAGGAACACCGACGGCGAAGGCAGCGUCCUGGCCGCUUGCUGACACUGAGGCACGAAAGCUGGGGGAGCAAACAGG
rnacentral:rRNA from 1 species